CCUACGAGAGGCAGCAGUGAGGAAUAUUGGUCAAUGGGCGCGAGCCUGAACCAGCCAAGUAGCGUGAAGGAUGACUGCCCUACGGGUUGUAAACUUCUUUUAUAAAGGAAUAGAGUGAGGCACGUGUGCCUUUUUGUAUGUACUUUAUGAAUAAGGAUCGGCUAACUCCGUGCCAGCAGCCACGGUAAUACGGAGGAUCCGAGCGUUAUCCGGAUUUAUUGGGUUUAAAGGGAGCGUAGAUGGGUUGUUAAGUCCGUUGUGAAAGUUUGCGGCUCAACCGUAAAAUUGCAAUUGAUACUGGCAGUCUUGAGUACAGUUGAGGUAGGCGGAAUUCGUGGUGUAGCGGUGAAAUGCUUAGAUAUCACGAAGAACUCCGAUUGCGAAGGCAGCUUACUAAACUGCCACUGACAUUGAUGCUCGAAAGUGUGGGUAUCAAACAGGAUUAGAUACCCCUGUAGUC
rnacentral:rRNA from 1 species